CGCGCGCGCGCGCUCGUCCCGGCGGCGCUCUCCUCCUUGCUGCGCCGCAAGGAGCCGGCCAGAGCCGGGCCCGAUCCCCGCGCCCUGCACCGGUUCCCGUGCCAGGGGCUCAGCCCUGCACGCUGCCCCCCGGCGCAAACCAGUCGGCCACGUGCAUGCUCCCCGUUCAGUCGUGGGGCCGGGACAAGACGGCUGCUCCGCAGCUCACAGCGGCUGUUCGCAGGAAGGAAGGGGGGGGCGGUGGGGUGGGUGCAGCUUUGCCGGGUGCCCGGUCCCUCAACCUCAGCUGGCCAUUGUACUUCGGCAGCUCAGGCACCCGGCAGCAGAACCCUGGGUCUUCAUUUCAUCCUGGAUCGGUCAAAGAGGAAGGGCUUCCGUGAUGAAAUUAUGGUUGACAAUCUGGACAGGGCCAACAAGCAGGUGCAAUCUCAAAGAGGGAAGGAUUCAUGGCAAGUUGAAAGCACAGGCAGGCUGCAGAGCUUGAGGACAAAAUGGCAGCGCGGGAGCUGACAUGUGCAUCUUGGUUCCUGAAACAGGAACGUGAGUUGAGUGGGGAAGACAGAGUGCAGUGGAAAGUCCCUGUUUGAGAGGCUGCUUUCACUAGUGACCACUAGAGUGCAGGAUCCUGCCUCAUCCACUCCACAGCCUGAGUCCCCUCCACGGUACCGUGCGCCGCAGACCAGGAGCGCUUUGGACAAUUCCUUGCUUGGCAGGUGGCCCAUGCAACUGGCACUUAGCAGCUGGACAGGGCAAAUCUACCCCCUGCAGUCCUCCACCCCGAUCCAGGCCCCAUUCCCUCUGCACACGUCCACCCCUAUGCUGACCGCCCUCCCCCCUGCAGAACUCCACCCCCAAGCAGUGGCAGCCAGCGCAUGCUCAACACACAUGACUGAGAAAGCAGAACAUGCCAGAGGACACACAAACUUAGGGGAUUGUUUUGGUGGCAUUGGUUUCACUGUUUACGCCAUGCAGUGUUUGGUUUAUGCACUUUGUUUUAUUACUGGUUUUGUGCUGGUUUAAUAUAUGCACACAUAGCAUUGGCAGGCAGGCCAGCUGCCGUCAGAACACCAAAACAGCACCAUCACUCCCCCGGAAUACAUCCAUGUUCACAAAUAAAGGCUUUUAUUUAAUUAAGAAAAUUAAUUGCCAUUAUUACAUCACAUCAUAUAACAUGUACAGGAACUCCUCACUUAAAGUCGUCCCGGUUGACGUUCUUUCGUUGUUACGUUGCUGAUCAAUUAGGGAACGUGCUCUUUUAAAGUUGCGUAAUGCUCCCUUCUAACGUUGUUUGACAGCUGCUUGCUUUGUCCACUGCUUUCAGGAAGAGCAGCCUUUGGAGCUCGCUGGUGGGGCCUUGGAAUCAGGGUGGACCGGAAGCCCCCUUAUCAGCUCCCCUAAGUUCCCUGGGGGGCAGCCGCUCAGCAGGCUAUCAAUUGCCAGGCACUUCAACUGUCCCUCCCCCCACUGCCAUGUGCUGCUCCUGCCCUCUGCCUUGGAGCUGCUCCUGGGGGCCUCCUGCUUGCUGUGCAGGGGGAGGGGUGGGAAGAGGGGGGCUAAUGUCAGGGUGUCCCCUCCCCUCGCUCCUGUCCCCCACUCCUUUACCCCAUCUUCAUAGAGCAUGGGGGUGGGGACACGACAGGGCUCAGGAUGGAGGGAGCUUGGUGGCAGCAGCUGCUGUCUCAACUUGCUGAUCUACUAAAAAGGCAGUGUACUUAGGGUGGGGUCAAUGUACUUAAAGGGGCAACGCGCGUGUCUCUCUCUCUCUCUCACACACACAGUGUGUGUCUCUGCUUCUCUCUGCCAUGCUGUCUCCCCUCCCUCCAUUCGUGCCACCUUGUAGAGUGUGAGGCUAUUAACAACAAUGUUGAGGGCUCAGCCGACUGUUAGUUCCUCAUUUAGCAGUAAGACAUCCCCUGAGAAAUAUCCCACCCUCUGACUCCACCACCUCAACCAAGCUUCACAAUCAUCAUUGCUGUGUACAGGAUUAAAUUGUUUGUUUAAAACUUA